AUAUUGACUGUGCUAAGGUAGCAUAAUAAUUUGUCUUUUGAUUGGGGACUAGUAUGAAGGAUUCGACGAGAGAUUGACUGUCUUAAAAUACGAUAGUAAAUUUUACUUAAAGGUAAAAAGGCCUUUAUUUUCUAAAGGGACGAUAAGACCCUAUAAAGCUUCACUCACAAAAGGUUGGGUUAUUUAAGGCUUAACUAAUUUAUAUGAGUUAUGCUGGGGCGGCAAGUAGUAAAACACUUUUUGUAAAAACGAGUUGAUCGAAACUAAAAAACGUUGAUUCAAAACUCAAAAACAAGUUACUUUAGGGAUAACAGCGUAAUUCUUUCUGAAAGACCUUAUUGGCGGAAGAGAUUACGACCUCGAUGUUGGAUUAA
rnacentral:rRNA from 1 species